GUGGUUUAAUUCGAUGAUACGCGAGGAACCUUACCUGGGCUUAAAUGUAGAGUGCAUUUUUUAGAGAUAGAAAUUCCCUUCGGGGCUUUCUGCAAGGUGCUGCAUGGUUGUCGUCAGCUCGUGCCGUGAGGUGUCGGGUUAAGUCCCAUAACGAGCGCAACCCUUAUCGUUAGUUGCCAUCUGGUAAUGCAGGGGACUCUAGCGAAACUGCCACCGUAAGGUGAGAGGAAGUGGGGAUGACGUCAAAUCAGCACGGCCCUUAUGUCCAGGGCUACACACGUGUUACAAUGGUCGGUACAGAGGGCAGCUACCUGGUGACAGGAUGCUAAUCUCGAAAACCGGUCUCAGUUCGGAUCGAAGUCUGCAACUCGAACUUCGUGAAGCUGGAUUCGCUAGUAAUCGCGGAUCAGCAUGCCGCGGUGAAUACGUUCCCGGGCCUU
rnacentral:rRNA from 1 species